UCCGGUUCUGAUAUGAACAGGGACAACCUUCCCGCAGGACAGUUGGACAGUACUGAUGAAAAACAAUCUUUAAAAUAUGCAUUGAUGUUGUAAAUAAGUUGUGACACAGCUAUUCAUUUAUAGAAAUAUUCUAAGGAAACAA